rnacentral:lncRNA from 1 species
UUUUUUUUUUUUUUUAAGGGCUGCACCUGUGGCAUAAGGAAGUUGCCAGGCUAAGGGUCGAAUCGGAGCUGUAGCAGGUGGCCUAUGCCACUGUCACCACAAUGCCAGAUUCAAACCAUAUCUGUGACCUAAACCACAGCUUGCAGCAAUGCCAGAACCUUAACCCACUGAGUUAGGCCAGGGAUCCAACCCUCAUCCUAAUGGAUACUAGUUGGUUUCAUUACUGCUGAGCCACAAUAGGAAGGAUCUCUCUACUUGGAUCUCUCUACUUCUUUUAAUUGCAGACAUGUGAUAGCCCAAGUCUAUUCUUGCAUUUGCCUUUUUUUAGUAUUUCAGAGCACAGCAUAAAUAGAGCAUAUUUGCAACGUGUAAAUAAAUUUCUAUGGGUGUGGCCAAAAACAAAAAAACGAAACAGAAAAUCCUUGCAAAUAGAGAGUUCAAACUGUUGAGAUACUAUGAGUACUGAGAACAUGCUUUCUUUUUCUUUUUCUUUUCCUUUUUUUUUUUUUUUUUCCAUUUUAGUGCCACACCCAGGGUGUAUGGAAGUUCCCAGGCUAGUGGUCUAAUCAGAGCUUCAGCUGCCAGCCUACACCACAGCCACAACAAUGUCAGAUCCUAGUCACAUCUGAGACCUACACCUCAGCUCAUGGCAACACCAGAUCCUUAACCCACUGAACAAGGCCAGGGAUAGAUCCCACAUCCUCAUGGAUAGUCGUCAGGCUAGUUACCACUGAACCACAACAGGAACUCCCAUUCUUUCCAUUUUAAAUAAAAGUUCAUUAUCUUAGAUUUCACUAAUUUUCAAAAUCAACUUGCAAACAAUUUGUAUAUUAAAAGGGAAAAUUAUGAUAUAUACAUAUAAACAUGCACACAUAUAUGCACACAUAAUCACAAUGUUUAACAUAUAUGCAGUAAGAUUUUAUUUUAAUGAUAUUUUAUGAUUAAGAACAACUUAAUGGCUAGAUCUCAAUAAUCAAUGUUCUGCUUUUCAAAUACGUGUUCCAACAUUUUUAAAAGGUGAAGAUAUAUUUCAACAUUUGAAAAGCAUUGAACAUCUGGGUGAAAAGUUCAUAUUUCUCUUUUGUUACCUGUCUAUAGAUAGAAUAUUUGUAUUUGGCUCUUUCACAAGAGCAAAAAUGAAUAACAAUGGAGAGUCAAAUGCAAUUGGCUUCCAUUUGUGUGUCUUUGUUAACUCUUUCUCUUAAGUUCCCUUUCCUCCCUCCAUCUAUUUGUCAGCACAGUGUUUGUAUUAUAUUUUCUCUCCAAGGUUAAAGCUAAGUAGUCAGACAAACAUUUUACAAGUGGGAUACAGUUUCACAACUUGUCAUGAAGUGUGAAUGUUUGAGGAAGAAAAUUUUAAAAAUUGGAGGCAGACCACUGAAUCACACUAAUGGCAGAGUAAGUGAAUUGCUUUGAGUUCCUCUCAAGCAGUCUUUGUCUCUAAAAUUCCAGAAAUGUAUGCUUUACUCUACCAUGAAAUAUGUGAGAUUAACUAGUUUCUUCUUUUACAUUUUAGUUCUUCUUAAGUGAGAUAAAAGUAUAACUCCACAAUGUAACACACAGAGACUUCAAUUAAGAUAAUAAAUAAACAAAAGGGAAAAAAAUCAAGAAAUUAUGACUAUAAAUAUACCCUAAUAAUAACUUCUUAAGUAACAUUGUAAAGCUGUAUAUGUGUUAUCUUAAAGAUUUUUCACUCUUUUUAAAAUAUGCUUUCUUGGAGGUCCCCUUAUGGUGCAGAGGAAAUGAAUCCGACCAGGAACCAUGAGGUUGCAGGUUUGAUCCCUGGCCACGCUCAGUGGGUUAAGGAUCUGGCAUUGCCAUGAGCUGUGGUGCAGGUUGCAGAUGUGGCUCGGUUCUGGUGUUGCUGUGGCUGUGAUGUAGGCUGGCAGUUACAGCUCCCAUUCCAUUGUAAAUGCACUUCCUUUUAUAAUUUUUGUUGUUUGUUUUAUUUUAUGUUUAACCCUUUGGGAAAUCUCUUUUUUUGCUGUGAAGGGUGACUCAAAUUCCAGUUUUUCCUUUUUAACAUUAUUUUUUCCCCUUCUACUGACUGUCUUCACAUAUUCUACCUUCCAUCCUGAAAAACAAUACAGCAACAGAUAAGAAAACUCAAUUUUUGCUCCUGAGGGAAUCUUUUUUUUUUUUUAAGGACUUCACCUACAGCAUAUGAGUUCCUAGGCUAUGGGUCAAAUCAGAGCUGCAGCUGCCGGCCUAUGCCACAGCCACAGCAGCACUGGAUCUGAACUGCAUCUGCAAACUAUGCAGCAGCUUGGCAGUAACACUAGGUCCUUAACCCACUGAGUGAGGCCAGGGAUCAAACCCAUAUCUUCAGGGAGACAAUGUCAGGUUCUUAACCUGCUGAGCCACGAUGGGAACUCCUGAGGGAAUCUUCUUUUGUCCCCUCUCCCCUUCGGUCUAAUGAGUUAUUAAAACUAUGAAAUACUUGGAGUUCCCUGGUGGCUCAGUGGGUUAGGAACCUGAUAUUGCCACUGCUAUGGUGUGGGUUUGAUCCCUAGCCUGGGUACUUCUGCAGGCUGUGGGCACAGCAAUACUUCUGUGAACACAGCUAUAUGAAUCUACAUAUUGAAAUGUUAUUCUAUUCAAUGUGCUAAGAAAAAUUCAUUUAAAAUGGUUAAUUGUCACAUUCAGAUAACACCCUUGUACACUAAAAAUAAAAGGAAUCAAGUUUUUUUUAAUCACUUGUAAUGGAAAAUAAAUCAAGUGGUCUCAAUAUUCUCAAAAGCAUAAUGAAAAAUCACAGUCCAAUUGAGUUACUCCUACUGUAUAGUUUGAGAAAGACCGUGUGAUCCAUGAACUUUAAAAGCAGUUCAAAUUUCCUCGAGUAUAUAGCCAAUUUAAAAUUAUUUUAAACAUGCAAGCAAGAACUCAUUUUGUGCUCACGAGGCUGUCUUGGGAAAUUACUAGAGGAUGAGCUUUAAGCAAACAAGAAAUAACUUGGGAAAUUACAGCUAAAGGACAAGAAGUGAUAAUUGAACAUAUUUAUACAAAGAGUAAAUAUAAAACAAAUAUGAGUUUUAGAGCAACAGAAAUAUUGCAAGUUAUAUGUCCUCUAAUCAUGUACAUAUGAUCAAAUUUUUAAAAAUUAACCAAGAAAUAACAAAGAAGAUGAGUAGUAGAGUGACUCCAUGGAUUAUUUCCUCCAUAAUAUUGAAAGUCAAAUAGUAUCAUUGGUUGGAAUACCAAGUACUGAAAGAAUAAGAAAGAGGAAAAAGUAAUGUGCAUGUGUGAGCAGUUCCUUGCCCUGGAUAGAUACACAAAAGUAUAAUUACAGUACCUAUGAUUUUAGGAGGAAUGGGACAAUUGUGAUUAAUAUAUAAUAAUUUGAAAAUCAUGUACCAACAUACUACUGAAUAGUUUAUUUUGUGUUUAUUAUAACCUAAAAUAUGUCUAUUUAUUACUAUGUAUAUCUUACACAUGUGUUUCUAUAACUAUAGGUACCAUACAUAUUAUUUAUAGUAAUGUAUAACAUAUACAAAUAAUACACCAAUUAUAACCAUUGUAUUACAGCAUGGGGCUUGUUUAUAGUUUAAGCUAUUAAUAUUUAUGCCUCCAAGACAUAUAUGUACAUGUCUUUUUUUUGCAUUUAUGUACAAAUUUGUAAAUACACAUAGGAGUGAAAUUACUGGGUCAAAGAACAUGAAUACAUUCAAACACAAAACAAAUUUUUCAAGUAGGGGGUGGAUUUUCAAAACAUUUUCAUAAUUGUUUUAGAACUGUGUUAAAUACUUAACUACACAAUUUUAUUCAGUUAUUUUUGUGAUAAUAUAUGUUAUAUAAUUAAAAUAGCAAACAUUUGUUAACUACUAACUGUAUGCUGGAUGCAGGCAGCUGCCAUAAAGCUGAAUAAAAUAGGGUGCCUCAAGGACAUCACAAAUUCAUUACAAUUAAUGGAAUUACAAUAAUGUAUUCAGGUUGCAUGUAUCACUGACAUGUUUCAGAUCUAACUAAAAUAGCUCUUCAUUGGAAGAUUUUAAAGAGCAGAUGGCUUGGUCUACUCAAACUAGGAAUAUCAGAAUGAAUAAAAACUAUAUUUUUAUUUUAUCCAGGAACCCACUUUGUACAGACCAGAUUGCAUCCUAAUUCUCCACUCAGAUUUAAAUUCUGGCAUCUCUACUCAAUCACAGGCUUCAAGAAAAUCAGCAUAAAAUAAAGAAAAGCUAAGCUAUUAACUGAGAGAUAGAUAUGGCUAGAUAAAGAGAUAGAUAAACCACAUGCAGAGCAAAUAAAAAGAAACAAAAAUAACUCUAUCCAAAAUACAAGACCAUAUGUUCUAUACCACUGUUUCUUCAUUGUAGUACGACUUAAUCUUGAUAACUAUUUAUUAAAGCCUUGAAAAUAAUUUAGGAACUUAAUUAGGCCCAUAAAAAUUUCUUUAGCUUAUAUUUUUUUUCAUAAGCUUCAAUUGGACACACAACCAGUUCCAAGAACUGCCAAAUACAUGCACGUGUUCAGACGAAAUUAUAUUACAUAGAGACUUGAAAUCUCACAUGCUGUCACCCCCGUAUGAGAGAGCUACAUUUCCUUUGGAUCUUUCAUCUAUAUAUAGCUGGGACUUGCAUAUUUCAGUUGAUUGUCAAAAAUGAAAUUCAUUGAAAUCACUUUUUCUUCACUUUCCUAGCCCAAGACUCUCUCCUGGCUUGUCUGCAUUACUGUGUUAAAGUCCUGAUUGAUCCGUUCUCGAUGGUCUCCUCCUCAGCUUCACUUCUUCAAUCUUCUCAUAUAUGCAUUCUGAAAUAUAGGUAUAAUCACACUUUAAGCUCUUAAAACACUUGAGUAAUUUCAACUUUG